CCUACCUGCUUUAAUCCUUCGUGUAUAUAUGUGUCCCCUGCUGGUUUUACCUCCUCCAAAUCCUUAAGACCCUUCUUGAUUUUCUCUCUGAAAACAAAAAGGUAGAAGACUGUUAACACGAUUUCAAGUGGGGAAGGGGGUUGCUUUAUUCAUGGAAAAAAUAGUAUUUGUCAUAAAGGAGAUGGGAAAUGAAAAUCCGUAAAACAGAGCAUUUAGCUGAGAUACCGUGCGGAGGCAGAUUUCGUAUUCACAACGGAACCGGCGCUGUGGUAACAGAUAUUUUAGACCUAAAUAACACAAUAUGCCUCAGUGAGUCAAAGAGCUAGAAUGAAGUAAAAGGUUUCGGACGGAGCAGACAUCGCAAAGCAGCGGCAAAGCCUCAGCGUUAAAUAGCCCGGUGGAAGUUCUGUUAUAAUAUAACAUAUUAUAUAUGUUAUGUAUUUACUUUGCUCACUUCGAGAUCGACUUCGUUUCCAAUCACGCCGCAAUUAAAAAAGAAAUCCCCUAAACCAGCAGUUGUAUUUCUAGAGAAAUCUUCCGUGGCGAUAUGCAAGUAUUUAAUGGGGUAGGACAGAAGUGCAAUAAUUAAAAUUUUCUCCCUUAAAAAAAUAAGAAUCGAUAGGCAAAUGCAGCGUUUGCAAGACACCUCUCGUAGCCACGGAAAGGGCCUAGUGUUAAGGAUACUUUUGGGGGGUUUGUUAGUUUUUAAAAUUUUUGGCUGUCGUUACCUUUCUGUGCGACCUCUGACGAGACAUCACGCUUAGACAGGUCACGGUUCGCUUAGAUUUAACAGGAGGAUCAGGUUGUGCCGUGAUUUCUCAUGGGCCUUUAAAUAAAUCCAUCUUUGACUGCGAGAUGCUCGCUUUACUGCGAUGGUAAGACUGGAAGCUGGGAGGUCGCGUGAAAGCAAUGAUUUCCAGGGAAAUCGGUAUGAGCGGGUAAAAAAACGCGGAGAGACUUUACUGAAAGAAUCGAAUCUGGAAGUUCUUAAUUCUCACGCAAGCAAAGCUCCAGAGAAUCCCGUGGAAAGCUGUGCUAGGAAAGGACAAGUCAAAACUAAGUAGGGAGAAAAUAUGGGCCAGAAUACAUAGAACACUGUAACAAAUAUAGGUGACAAAGAGGAAACGAGCAGGGGUGAGGAGAUGAGGGGAAAAUACAUCGCAGGAAUGCGCGAAAGCUUUCCUUAGGGCAAACAAAAUGAGAAAGAAUGCAUAUGCCGCUCUGCCCGAAUGCCACCCACUAGUCAUUUGUUCCACUGAUGGGCUUCCUCUAUGUUUAGAAGCUCUGUUCCAAAGUACAAUCCGUAGCUGUACCAAGCUCCCAGUCACGGGAUGGACCGAUACAAUCGGGGAGGGGGAGCGCGGGAAAGAGAGAGGAACGAGGCACUGAAUAUAUGGAAGAGAACACGUUAUGUAAGAUAAUACAAUCUGUUUGAUCCAAAUAUUUUACGUUCAGCAUCUAUAGAAACAACUUGAAACUGAUUAUGUACGCACGCAGAUUAUAAACCACAUACUAAGUGCUUGCCAGAAAUGAGUGGCAGCACAUCACAGGCGUUAGUGUUCUGCUGCCAAGAAACAAGCAGCAACUGAAGUCCCAGUUUUCUGAAACAGAUUUCAUUUUGCAAAAAUAGCUUCUGUACAAUCAGUUCAGUUUUAUUUAUCUAAAAUGUCUUGCGACCCGGUCGCACAGAAAUCUCUUGUGUUUCCAGGCCUCUGCCUACAAAGGGUUCCAGGAAAAGCUUUGGGAGCCUGAGCUCUUUUACCUGCAUUUAAUUAGUCGCCAUCCCUUUCCCUCGGGGCACAUCUGUACUAGAUAGGCCCAGCCAGAUGCGAACAAGCUCCACCCGCGCUCCGAGUCAGCCGGCUACGAGCGAGUCCCGGUCUGGAUGUCACGAGGCCAACGCGGGUGCAGGACUCGGAGGCCCCGGCAAAUGAGCCCCAGCCGACGGCAGGAGAGAUUUACUUGCAGGCGUAAACGUAACCGUCCGCCUUUCCGAGUUUGAAUUAAGUCAAGGCAACUAUCGCCAGUUUACAGGAGAGGUUUCUCUGCGUAAGCUCCGUUGCGCCAAGCCGCAAGCUUUUAAGGCCACAGCCAGCGUUCGCUGGCAGCGGAAGACAGGUAAUGCUUCCAUCUGCUGCGGCAGGAUGUAGAUCGCAUCCCCGUUUGAGAGGACCGACGACAAAGCUACAGACCGCUUACGAAGCACGAGCCGCCGUAGCGUCUCAGAGAUGUGACGCCGCCUUUGAGAGUAAGAACGCUUAACAGAAAGGGACGGUCAUUUGCCUUAAAGGAAGUAAAUGCAUGUUCAGUGUGUACAAAGAAAAGCUCAUAGGUGCUAGAAAGCAAAGCAUGCCUGGGGACUGAAUCUUAAAAAUCAUUCACAUCCCUGGUUUUUUGGGUUUGUGUGGUUUUUGGGGUUUUGGUUUGGUUUUUUUAGGAAGAAAAUUUUGUGCUUGUACGUUAGUGCUGCGGAGGUUAGAACCAGCUGAAAUGGUCACAUAAGCCUCAGGCCGUGCCGAUUCGGUUGGGCAAAGGGCUAGCCUCGUAUAAAACGCUGAGUCUCCUUUAAUAUCUAGGCAGUUUUACCUAGUGCUGUUCUCAGCCCUUCCGGAUAGGGGACAGAAUCUUGUAUUUCUUUUCCAUGUUGCGUUCUACCUAUUGAAGCGCUGGAACGUUGAAUCGUUUUUCAGUGCGUUGAGAGUAUGAGCACCGGUAGGGAAACUGUGGUUCCCAAUGAGCAUACAUUUAUCGUCAGGAACGAGGCGAUGUGCUUGCAAGGCAACGUACUUCGUCUCUAACAAAUACACGCAAACCAAAUGGGUACUUUGGUUUUGCUGCUAAGAAGGAAGUAUAAGAACAGGAAAACACACAAACUUGUUAGUGAAACAAGGCGGGGGAGGGGAGGGAAGUGUUCUUUCCCAAAAAGAGGGACGGUUACAUCCCUGACGAACAGAGCUGUCACGCCGGUUCGAGUAAACCCUGCGCAUCGGCCUUCUAAGAUGUGUAAUUUGGAGGAGGCUCCUACUUUCUACACCUCUCAAAUACUACAGAGGGCUCGGUAUCAUUAUAAUAAUUACUGUGCUUCAAACUUUAGGUGUCCUGCGUGGACUCCACAUGGAAAAAGUGCAAGUGGCUCCCUUUGCUGUGCUUUAUACACUCGGCAGAACACGCUCUCCGCAGAUGGCUCGAGUUCGGCAAGCUUCUUGCACCGAAGCGUAGGGUUAGCUCACGUCACGGAGGCUCAAACUGCAUGAAUGUCUUGCUAGAUUACGUGUCUCGGUGCAAUAAAGGAAGAGUCAGCGCUCCGCCACGCUAUGGACAAGCACAGUAAGUUAUAGUUGGUCGUGUACCGGGUACGUAAGUGUCCUAUUUUUCCACCAUCGUUAAUAUAAUCUUUCUGUAGCUCCAACGGGAGUUUCACCUAAGCAGAGUCAGCAGGGCUAGUCCUGGCCACGGACGUCAGUCCCAUGCUGCAGAAGCAGGUUUACAGAAACCUGAAAUUCUGCUGGCCAGCGUACGGUUGGCCAAAAGAGAGCACGGAUGACGCUGUGCCGUCUGGAUGACGUUCGUAAGCGUAUCCGCUUUUCCAGACGACUUGCUUUGCAAAACUAGUAGGAAAACUGAGCCCCAAAUGUAACGCACAAAUCUUUGUUUACCACUUAGCCUUUGUUUACCACUUAGCGUACGGUUUGCAGCUAAACUUCAGAGGGGAAACGUGUAUCUCUAAAAUGGGAUAUAACCAUUGUGAGAAGUCUUUGCCAUCUGGGUGUUAUUUUUAUUCUGUGUAUUUAUUAUAGCGUUGUGCGUCCUGUGGUUAACGGUGACUUAGGCUUCCACAGUCGUUCACGUGGAACUGUUCGUAGUCACAAAAUAUUUGGUCAUCUGGGGGCAUGGGCGCUAUCGCGUGGGUUUCUUUAUACCCACAGUUUUAUUAUGCAGUAAAAAACAGCAAGAACUUUGUGCAAACAAUUAGAAGCCUAAGGCUUUCAAAACAACAAAAAAAAAAACUUCCCUACUUUGAACUAACUGCUGGGAAUGAAUUGUGGUUUGCUGACAUCUGCGAAUUAGCGAGUCGGCAAGGGGAAAAACAUCCCUGCAAGUCCAAAAUGCACACUAAAAAAAACCCUAGGCCAUAAUAGCCCGUAAUCACACACACGUACACACCCAUCCCCAAAACUGCACGGUGCUUUGCAUCCUCAUCUUCUGCUGGGAACGAUGGGAGUUAUGCUUUCUAAGUCAUUUUCCUCUGCUGACUUCUUUAAUAUUUAAAAGAACAGCUGUUCCAACUGUAUCUAUCCGUUCUUACCUAUGUACAUAUGGGCACAGUUAUGAGGGUCGUCUCCUUCGUUCUGCUUAGGUUCGUAGAAUCAUCAUAGAAUGGUUUGGGUUGGAAGGGACCUUAAAGAUCAUCUAGUUCCAACCGCCCUGCUGCGGGCAGGGACACCCUCCGCUAGACCACGUUGCCCAAAGCCUCAUCCAACCUGGUCUUAAACGCUUCCAGGGAUGGGGCCUCCACAACCUCUCUGGGCAACCUGUUCCGGUACCUCGCCACUCUUAAGAGUAAAGAAUUUCUUUCUAACACCUAAUCUAAAUCGACCCUCCUUCAGCUUAAACCCAUUCCCCCUUGUCCUGUCACUACGCUCCCUGACAAACAGUCCCUUUCCGGCUUUCCUGUAGGCCCUCCUUAAACAGUAAGGGUAGUGAUUUCCUUUCCCCUACCACGCUCACAAAAGCAUCAGCAAUCUUGCAUUGAAGAAAAUUCUCACAAAUGAACUCACUAGAACUCAGGAAGGUUCUUCCUAUGCUUUAAACGAGGCUUCUGAGAAAAACACGGUUAUUUCCAUGGCUUAAAGGGUGACACAGACAUGCAAUGAAAAAGGGGCUUGUGUUGCUCCGUGGCGGGGUUCCAGAGUUCUGCCCGAGCAUUUCAAGCGGUCUGUAUGGUAUAGGCGCUGACUCUCCGUGCUUGAUAAGGAAUAGGCCUCUCCCGGGGAUUAAGGGCCUAUUGAAAUGGAGAGAAAGGAUCUCACUGACUUCAGCAGUCCUCAGAGGAGGCUUAAGUGUCCUCUCCUGACCUCUCUGAAGCCAUCUGGAAAAAUGGCUUAUAACCUUGUCUCUCUGCACAGAGAGCAGAUGCAGUAUCCAAGUCCGGGUGGGGGGAAGAGAGAACUUGGCCGUUCUCAAGUCAGACAGCUUUUUUUAAAUGCUAAAACAGGAGAGGCUUAGAAUUUAAUCUUUAGACAUCCUAUUUCUAGGAUGUCAGCAGACAUUUGUGUAGCGUGACACAUUUGUCUGUUGUCAAUGACGGGUCUCCUGGCUAAGUCUUAUACUUGCUAUUAUGUGUUAUUUAAAAAAACAAAAACAACCCCAAACACAGCACGGUAAACUGACUGACUAUGGCAGACCACAUUUUGUAUUGACUCUGCUCAAGGGAGGAGAAAGGAAAGACCACCUCACUUCCACCCUGCCACAGUUGAUUAGAAUGAUUCCUAAGUGGUUUAUCUGCAUGUUCAAAAUCCAAGAAGUUGUGCAGUGUGGUUAGCUUCAGGACAGAAUCCUGUGAUUUUAGUAGUUAAUCUUGCAACAACCUUUCCUGUACCUGAUUUUCUCCUUCUGUUUUCCCCUACCUCUCCUUGACCUAUCCUAGCCGCUAAUCCUUAUUUGCCUUAGAAAUCAGAGUGAGCAGCCUUGAAUUCCAUUUCCUUUGAAAACAUCAACUGAAAGGAAGAGUUCAGGCACAUCCAUACAUCAUCGCAGUGCCAGAAAGAUCUCCCACCUUUCAAGUGGCACCAACUCCACUGUUUAAAACUGAUUUCUUGAAGUCGCAUUAUGAAAACACGAAAUACUUACCUUAUAUGAGAUUAUGGGAAACGCUAAUUUACCAUUGUACGCCUUACUUAGACGUGAAAAAAUACCAAAAACUUAUCCACGGACGCUGCUUUGCAAAACUAACAGCAAAAAUUAUUUAUCUAGCUGUGCCCAGGAAGAUGCAGUCACGCAGAGAUGAAAACGGUACUCGUAGCUGUUGUGCAAAGCAGUGGCAGAGUUCACAUCAAGAAUUGAUUUCCCAUUGUUCUUCUCCUUCCUUUUUUCAGUAGGCUUUCCACUGACACGUUCACAAAAUUAAAUCCAGGUCUGCGCAGAGGCUUCGCGACUGGCCACCGCUUAAAGGUAUCAGUUAUUGUUCAGUAUCUGUUACUGUUCCUCUGAUUUAGUAAGAGCCCUUGGUGGGGGAGGAGGGAAAGGGAGAAUUAAAAAAGCAGUGCACUAACCUGUCUCCAGUUAAUGGCAUAACGAUGUGUGCCUGGGUGGAAAAUACGAUAAACGAUAAUC